UACGUAGGGUGCAAGCGUUAAUCGGAAUUACUGGGCGUAAAGCGUGCGCAGGCGGCUUUGCAAGACAGAUGUGAAAUCCCCGGGCUUAACCUGGGAACUGCAUUUGUGACUGCAUGGCUAGAGUGCGGCAGAGGGGGAUGGAAUUCCACGUGUAGCAGUGAAAUGCGCAGAGAUGUGGAGGAACACCGAUGGCGAAGGCAGCCUCCUGGGCCAGCACUGACGCUCAUGCACGAAAGCGUGGGGAGCAAACAGG
rnacentral:rRNA from 1 species